AAAGAACAUCAGAAUGUUAUAACAUAACAUCAGGACAAUUGAACACCAGAACGUUAGAAUACUAGAAUGUUUGAACGUAACAUCAGAACGCUAGAGCACUGGAACGAUGUAACAUAAAAAAAUCAGGACAUCAGAACGGUAAAACAUUAUAACAUUGGGAUGUCAGAACAUCGUAACUCCAGAACAGUACAUUAGAACAUUAGAACAAUAGAAUGUUAUAACAAUAGAACAUCAGAACAUUAGAAUGUUGGAACAUUUGAACAUUAAAACAUUAGAAUACAAGAAUGUUAGAACAUUGGAAUGCUAGAACAUUAGUUUAUUUUAACUCUAGAACAUUAGAAGAUCACAGUGUUGGAGCAUUAGAACGUCAGCAUUAGAACAAUAGAAUAUUAAAACAAUAGAAUGCCAGAACAUUAUAACACUGGAACAUUAGAACAUCAGGCCAUUAGAACAGUAGAACAUUAGAUUGUUAGAACUGUAGUAAAGUACAACAAUAGAACAUCAGGACUUUAUAACGUUAGAACAGUAGAAAAAUACAACAUCAGAACAUCAUCACAUCAGGACAUUAGAUAAUUAAAACAGAACAUUAAAAUGUUAGAACAUCAGAAUAUUAGAACAUUAAAAUAUCAGGAUGAUAGGACAUUAGAACAUCAGAAUAUUAGAACAUUAGAAUGUCAGAACACUAGAACGUCAGAACAUUAUAACAUUAGAAUGUUAGAACAUGAGCCUCUAAAGUUGGUGAAAUGUGGACCAAAGGCUGUAUUUUAGUCGAGCUGUGGAUCCAUCCGUAAAUAAACACUUAGAGGAACUUUAUGGAACCAAUAAUUAAGUUCUGUUCUCUGCUGGAUCCAUCUAAUGGUUCUGAUGGAACCAUUCUGUCUGUUCUCUCCACAUCUCAUGACUGCUGGUUUUGUUCCUGGAGAUCCUGAACCUUUUUAUUUUCCAGAACUUACCUUUGGUUCUAGAUAACAGAUAAAAUGGGACCAGAACCUGAGUUCUGACCCAAAAGGUUCUAAACAGCUUUUAAAGGAUUUAUGUUCUCUGCAGAUUCACAGAAUCACAAGAACCCUAAGAUCUCAGCGUCAGCUUCAGUUUGUUCUCAGCUGUCUUUUAAAACUGCUAAAUGAAGAGUCUGAAGAACCAUAACAACCAGC
ensembl:lncRNA